rnacentral:lncRNA from 1 species
CUCCACACUCAUAUAUUUACUUUUUCAAUUGAAUUAAUCGUCGGAGUGUGCGCAGCCAGCUCUAUCCCCAUCGAGAGAAGUUACGCAUGGCUAGCGGUUUAUCCAAUUGUUCUAUAAUUAGGCUUGCGUGGACGAGAGAGACCUUGGGACCUAUUGACCACGUUGGAGGUAUAAAAUUUGAGGUCAACAAAUUGGCGCUGUUUGUGGGAAACUGCACUAUAACUACGAAUAUUCUUGGGUUGAAAGCUAUUAGAAAGGGAGGUAUUCCAAAGCCCAAACUUGAAGAAAGGUCUUUGUUCUUGGCAAAAGAAUAGUUGAGAGCACUAGAGAUGUCACUAUAAGUUUCGUUUGACCUAAAAGUUGUUAUUGUAUCAUGAGUUCGAGCCACUACGGCUGUCAUUACAAGAAUUGACAAAAGAAGGUUUCUGAAGAAGAAGUUAUCUAGACAAAUGUCAAUAUCCGUCAACCCCACCACUAGUAUCGAUGAGGCGAUGGCACUAUUGUAUGCCUAGCAAAAGAGGUGAGGUAGAUGGUUGCGAAUAUGAGGAAUAUAGCCCAACAAAUGCUAUCAUACAGCAUUUACUCGUGUAAAUGCAAAGAAAACUGGAUAUCAAAUGCCUCAAUGGGAAGCUUUCCAAUAAGAAGAAGAGGAGGAACAUAAUAUAAGAUCUUGCUUCCAGAGACAAAGAAGGGAACCUAACCCCAUUGAUGAUUUACUACAAGGGGCUAAAAACUUCCCCCUAGAACAUGCGCAGGAUCAUGGACCUCAGAGGUCCACAGUAUCUUUGACGGAAUUGGAUCAUCAUUACUUAGAAAUGGGUCACAGCAGUCACCUCCAAUGCAAAGGCAACAAGGAUAUGGAAAAGGCAUGAACCCCAAGAAGCCCCUCCACCUAGAAAUAGGUGAGAAAGAAGGGACACUGUAAAUUUGAGGAACCAAGUCAGUAACAUCACAACCGCCCCGGUACUAGGCUAAAGAGGAGGAUUCCGAUAGUCCAUUUAGAUCUUUUGAAUUAGACGACGAUGAAGAAAGUUUCUCAUUUCAAAAGAGCUAAUGAAUGCCCAUAUUCCUAGCCUCCCUCACACCCAGAAGAAUCUGAUAACCACAAUUCAUUUCUUCUCUGUUUCACUCAAUUAUUGACCUCUAAUUAUUUGGUUUCUGUAUCAAUUGUUAACUGGAAUGUGG